UGGCCACCUAGUAAGGGUCUAGGAUCUAGUAAAGAUCCGCCUAACAGUGGUGCACACAGCAAAGGAACUUCGUCGCCUUUGGGAGGCUGUGCAGUGCCCCCCAAAGUGAAUCAGGAGGUUCCACAGCC